AUCAGCGAAAAUCACUAUGUAAUUAACAAAUUCCAUUACAAAAAUUCACUAAAAACUUAUCAAUUAACAAAAACCACUAUGUUAUUAAUGAAAGCACUAUGUAGUUACGAAAACCACUAUGUAAUUAACGAAUUCCAUUACGAAAAUCCACUAUAAACUCAUCAAAACCACUACAUGCCUUUGUGUCUGUAUAUAUAAAAUAAACAACCCAAACAUUUAAGGAAAGAGAAGAAGAAGAUGCAGGCCGAGAGAAUCAACAUGUGGAUAUGUCCAGAACCCCAAAAUCAAUAAACGCUUCAUCUGCACCACCACUAACCAUGAAUCUUUCUUCAACCGCUUCAAUUAUUUCCUAUGCAAGGCCUCCACUGUCAUGGGGUGCUAGACCGCCGCUUGAGGGCGGCGCUCUGGCGUUGAAGAGAUAGAAAGGGGGCCGCCGGUGGUGCAGAGAAAAAGUUGUGGCUGUCGGCGGUUUGAAUGAAAGAGAUUAGAGAAGGAGAAUUCUCAAGAGAGAAGAUGAGAAAAGAAAAAAGAGAGAUGGGAUAAGAAAAUCAAAC
rnacentral:lncRNA from 1 species